UUGCCCAGAGAUGAGUUCUCCCUGACUCCUUGAGAGUCCUGAAGGAACGUUGAAGACGACGACGUUGAUAGGCCGGGUGUGUAAGCGCAGCGAUGCGUUGAGCUAACCGGUACUAAUGAACCGUGAGACUUAACCUUACAACGCCGAAG
rnacentral:rRNA from 1 species